GUGAUAGUUCACAAUCUAAUUGUUAGAGUAUCAAAAUUCCCCAGAACUGUUCACGAAAGCACUUUACCAAUCACCAUGACUCAGUCGUGGCUCUGGGUUCCUAGAACUUGACUCUCCUGCAAUUUGGAAUUAUCACAGCUAUUUAUCUUUGCUUUUGCAGUAUUACGGCUAAUCCAGUAGCAAAAGCUGCUGACAACACAACCGAUCUCCAACUCGCUUUGAACACGGCUCAGGUCGGACGAACAUUUCAGGACAGAAGUCAUGUAUUCAUUUUGAAACCUCGAAAUCAACUGCCUCUGAAAUAUCAGCAUGCCAACAUCUACUACAUUGGAGGAAUGGGAAAGAGAGGAAACAUCGUGCAGACUUACCCGGCCAUGGAAUAUCGCUUCACUCCUGAACGUAUUACAGUUACGACAGAGGAUGUGUUGUGUUUUGUAUGGUCAGGUUCCAACAACAAUCCGUCACACUAUGAUGGACAAGGAGCACAAAGUACUGAUCGCACCAACGUUUGUUGGGUAAAGGAAGGAUGCAGCUAUCUCAAACCAAAA